rnacentral:tRNA from 1 species
GGGGCUAUAGCUCAACGGUCAGAGCAGGCGGCUCAUAACCGCUUGGUUCCAGGUUCGAAUCCUGGUAGCCCCA